UAAUUAUAUAUUUGUAGCUCCUUACCUGAACUGUUAGAGAAGAAACGUUUGAUUGAUUCUCAUACAAACUUGGCAACAUCGUUAUUGGAUAAAAUCAAGGCACGGAAACUGGAUGUAUAUUUUGAAGUUGAAGAGAGGCUGAUGACCAAGACGUCACUAGAUAAACCUCUGAUGGACAUCAUCACUGAUGUUGAUGCUGGUACCGCGGAGGACAAGAUGAGGAUGUUUAUUAUUUUCUACAUCCUUGGUCAACAACAGGUUACCGAUGCAGAAUUUGAUCAAUAUUUACUGGCUCUCGAAGCAGCCGGUUGUGACCUAUCACCUAUCAACUACAUCAAAAGAUGGCGGUAAGCUAAAAAAUAUUCUUAAUAACAACGCAGACAUGUAUGUGUUUGUUUUUUUUUCUUCACAUCCAACAGCAAGUACA